CUUAAUAGAUUUAAUGUACGCCACCAGGACCCCUCUCACCUCCAAGCAUCUCUGAAGAGCCUCCCAAGGACUUUGUCAUACGUCUUCCUCAGGUCGAUGAACACCAUGUGUAAGUCCCUCUUCCUUUCCCUAUACUGCUCCACCAAUAUCCUCACCAGGUGAAUUGCCUCUGUCGUCGAGCAAUUGGGUAUAAAUCCAAACUGAUUCUCCGAAAUAGACACGAUAUUAAUAUAAAUUUUCUCCUAUCUAGGGUGAAUAUUUCUCAUUUUCCUAAAUCUGCAAUUUACUCUAUUUUUGUUUGUUGAUUUAGUGUUUCGCCGAACUUCGCCGGAUAACUCUCUCGUAGUUCUUAUCCCUUAUUUAUGUCUUACUCCAAAUGUCCACUGGCUUCGAUCUCAGGCAUCCAGCCCUAACCAAAGAGCCUGUUACCAUGUUGAGCCCUGAAAUGAUAACAUUCCUGUGUGGACUGCCUUUUCUUUUUAUUAACUUAAAUCUGUUUUUUAUAAAUCUGGAUAUUUCUUGUUGGCUUUACAUUAUUAGCCUAUGUUUUUAAUUAUUGGUCUACGCUUAGCUUUAGCCAUUUGAUUCUAUGUGAUACUAGUAGAGUCCAUUUGUUGCUAGAUGCUGCAGUUUAAGUCUCAUUUGCCACCAAGUAAUUGUUUCAAACUUCUUCUUUGUUAAAGAAAGACACUUGUUUAACCUUCUUAUGCAAUCAAUCUUGAACUUGGAAAUUUGGUUAGCCAUUUAUUAGUAUAGAGAUUAAAAUUUGCAUAUCCUGCAGAUGGACUGUGGAUUCUGAUAUAGUUGAGGGAAUUGAAUGACAUCUUUAUUAACUGAAUAAUAGUCCUAACAAUUAAGCCCCAUUGCCAUCUCAGUCUAGCUUUCCCCUUCUUGUCCUCCACGAAGGUCACUAUCAACUCGCCUCAAAUAUCUUGUUCUUAAAGUAAAUAUCUCUCCUAGUAUGCCCACACAUGCAUCAUCUGAGCAUCCUCAUCUCGGCUACCUUCAUUUUCUGAACAUGAGUAUUCUUGACUGACCACAACAAAAUAGGUCUAACUACCACUUUGUAGAACUUACCUUUACGACUUGGUGACACAAUCUUAUCACACAUAGCCCUAUAGGCGAGCCUCCACUUCAUCCAGUCUUCCCUUCCUAUUUAAUUUUUCCAUCUACAAUCAAAAUGGUUAUCCAAUCUUGUGCUUGCAAUCGACACACCCCGACUUCUCUUCUCACCUUUCCAGCUUCAUGGAACUUCCUCCCAUCCACUUGUGGCCUUCAUAUGAAACUCUAGAUGACUAGUCUUUAGUUCUUUAUCAGAAAAUCAGAGAAGAAAUUUGGUGUCGCUGAUUGCAUCUACCAUCCAAUCUUCCGCUGCUUGUUCUAAUGGUCUUCCAAAAAGCAACCCAUUUGGUACAGCUUCCCACCAAACAAGUUUUUAAAGGUUCUUCCUAAUAUAAGUGUGUUCGUCUGAAGGAGUGAAAGCAGAUUUUUUGUCAUCUGGACUGCAGUUUUUUGGUCAUCAUUUCUUAGUAUUAUCCAAGUUUUUCACUGACUUGGCCUUUUUAGAUAUUGAUAUGACCACAGGACAAAGUAUCUAUGUAUGCAAGUUGGUAACAGGAAACUUGGAGUUGUCCUUGAGUAUUUUUUUUUAAAAAUGCAAUAGAAAUAUAACUGGAUUUUGAGUUGGUAAUAAGAAACUUUGUUGAGAAUUAGUGCACAGUGCAAAGACUGCAGUGGAUUUUUUUAAAUUUUUGUUCUCUUUAGAUCUUCUGCUAAAACGUAACUGCGUCAUACAUGGACAUUGCCUUAAUAUUUUAACUACAUGUCAACCAUCUUCACAACUCAGCGCAUUGUUGACUUUGGCGCCCUUCCUUGCCUGUGGAAGUUGCUAAACAAGAACGUCGAGGAAAUGGAUGUCUGGACGAUUAUAAGAAGUCUUACUUGGGUAUAAAGGCAUCUCAGAUAAGGAGCACCAAUUCACAGUUUCAUGGCUCUGUACGGCAUGAAAUGGAGGAAAAAAAGAUGGAAGUAAAAGAAAAGCUUGACAAGUAUGAAGAACGGAAGCUGUCGAUCUUCUGUUCUGAACUAGAUGCAUCAGGAGGACAUGGUACCAAAGUUGAUGGACUUUUUUGAAGGUCUUUAAGCUACGACUGUUGGGUUGUGUGCUGAGAAAGAACAGGUUGACUUCUGAAUGUGAUAAAAGCAUCUGUGAUGCAUCUCUGGUCAAGUGAUGCUGACCAGAAUCGAGUCAAGUGAUGACGAACUAUGUGGUGCAAUUGGUGAAAUUCUAAGAGAAGGUGACAUCCCCACAAUCGAGAAUCUUGAUAUACAUUCUCCCCGAGGUCGUAGUAGGAAGAUAGUUCCAAUGGAGAAUUCACAUCAGGUCUAACCAGUGCAAAGACGAUAUUUUUCUUUUGCGGGCAAGCCGUUUGGAACAGAUCUCAAGCCCAAAGAAAACCAUACAAAGAUUAUGAUCAUGUUUCAGCAUGAUCAACCCAUGCAUCGGAAAGUUCUUUAUGACCUGGAAUCAAGGGCGGAGCUAGCAUAUACUCAGGGAUGAAAUUCAUCGGAACCCCAUUCAGCAAAAAAAUUACACUAUGUAUGCAUGUUUAAAAGCCUGAAAUGGUCUGAAGUGUGAGCCUCUUACAUGUCUUGCUUCUUUCCAAUGUUCCUUUUCUAAUUCAGAUGCAUUUCUCAUAAA